GACGAACGCUGGCGGCGUGCUUAACACAUGCAAGUCGAACGGAAAGGCCCUGCUUUUGUGGGGUGCUCGAGUGGCGAACGGGUGAGUAACACGUGAGUAACCUGCCCUUGACUUUGGGAUAACUUCAGGAAACUGGGGCUAAUACCGGAUAGGAGCUCCUGCUGCAUGGUGGGGGUUGGAAAGUUUCGGCGGUUGGGGAUGGACUCGCGGCUUAUCAGCUUGUUGGUGGGGUAGUGGCUUACCAAGGCUUUGACGGGUAGCCGGCCUGAGAGGGUGACCGGCCACAUGGGGACGGGGAACCGCCGGAGCGGCCACGGGGGGGAGGGGGGGGGGAAUAGUGAAAAGGGGGGGGAGGCUUGAGGAACAACCGCCGGGGGGGGAAGGAGGGCUUUGGGGUUGAAAACCGUUUCCCCGGGGGACGAGGGGUGAGGGAGGGAAAGGGAAAAAGAAGCCCGGGCAAACUACG
rnacentral:rRNA from 1 species